GUGGGGAAUAUUGGACAAUGGGCGCAAGCCUGAUCCAGCCAUGCCGCGUGAGUGAUGAAGGCCCUAGGGUUGUAAAGCUCUUUCACCGGAGAAGAUAAUGACGGUAUCCGGAGAAGAAGCCCCGGCUAACUUCGUGCCAGCAGCCGCGGUAAUACGAAGGGGGCUAGCGUUGUUCGGAAUUACUGGGCGUAAAGCGCACGUAGGCGGACAUUUAAGUCAGGGGUGAAAUCCCGGGGCUCAACCCCGGAACUGCCUUUGAUACUGGGUGUCUGGAGUAUGGAAGAGGUAAGUGGAAUUCCGAGUGUAGAGGUGAAAUUCGUAGAUAUUCGGAGGAACACCAGUGGCGAAGGCGGCUUACUGGUCCAUUACUGACGCUGAGGUGCGAAAGCGUGGGGAGCAAAUGGGAUUAGAUACCCUGGUAGUCC
rnacentral:rRNA from 1 species